AGCGAACGCUGGCGGCAGGCCUAACACAUGCAAGUCGAACGAACCUUUCGGGGUUAGUGGCGGACGGGUGAGUAACACGUGGGAACGUGCCUUUAGGUUCGGAAUAACUCAGGGAAACUUGUGCUAAUACCGAAUGUGCCCUUCGGGGGAAAGAUUAAUCGCCUUUAGAGCGGCCCGCGUCUGAUUAGCUAGUUGGUUGAGGUAAUGGCUCACCAAGGCGACGAUCAGUAGCUGGUCUGAGAGGAUGAUCAGCCACAUUGGGACUGAGACACGGCCCAAACUCCUACGGGAGGCAGCAGUGGGGAAUCUUGCGCAAUGGGCGGAAGCCUGACGCAGCCAUGCCGCGUGAAUGAUGAAGGUCUUAGGAUUGUAAAAUUCUUUCACCGGGGACGAUAAUGACGGUACCCGGAGAAGAAGCCCCGGCUAACUUCGUG
rnacentral:rRNA from 1 species